UUAUUUAGUGUAAUUAAGGGAGACUAUUUCCAAUCCUCGUGUAUUUAUAAACAUGAUCAAUUAAGGUGACUAAUAUGUUCAAAUAAAAAUAACUUGAAAGCUUAAGAUCAGGAUCAAUGGCGUUUGAAGGUAUGUUAAUUAAACUAUGGAAAAAUUAAAUACUCAUCCAAGAAACUACGACGCAGAGUGUUUGAAGAGCAAUGUUGAAUUCUACCGAGAACUUCUUGAAAAGCAGUGGCCUGAAAGCAUUAACGAAGAAUUAAAGGAUGUGGAAGCAGAUAUGGAGGUGAAAGAAAUCAAGGAAAGGAUUCUAAAAUUGAGUAAGCGAUUGGGUCAUGGGAAGACCAAAUGGGCGGAGGAGAAACAAAUCCUAAAAGAGCUUGAACAUCUUCAAACACAAACGGAGUUGCCUAAUGGCCAAGUUAAAGAAGCAGAAGCUGCAAUAGAGAUUCAUUGGUGUCGGAAUUAUGGUUCUAAGUUUGAUUUGAAACGAUAUAUCCAUGAAUGUUUGAAGAAAAUUAGAGAAUAUGAAGAACAGGACAAGGUUGCGAAACUUCAGUGUAUACCAGAAAUUGCUAAAAUGGAGAGGAAACUUGCAACCCUAGAAAAGAAAUACAACAUUGUGAAACAAGAAGAAGAAAAAGCAAAUGACCGCCUUGUUAAAUUGCAGCACAUACCAGUACUUGAAAUGCAAGUAGAGAAGCAGCUAAAUGUGACAGGUUACGCUUUAUAAAAAGUAUUGCAAAAUACUGAAUAAGGCAGAAGAGCUUGCAACACACAAAAGUUUGGCUACACUUGAAGAAUAGUCUAUGAACGAGAUCGAGGAGUUUAUGUCAAGAUGGACAAAUAAUGGUGAAUUUAGAGCUAAUUAUACUAGAAGUAUUCAGCUAUCCCUUGCCAAUCGAGAUUUAUGUAGCGAUGGAAGAAGGCUGGAAUUGGAUCCAUCAGUACCAGAUUUAUCAUGCUUAUAGCUUGAUUGUACGCAACAUUAGCUGAUUACGUGCUUUUCUGUGUUUGUUUGUCAUUACUAUUUCUAUUGACCCUGUGAUGACAUGGCGUUACGAUUGUAUUGUAUAGUAAGCAGUCACGGAGUGAGUCUUUGCGGGUUUGGGAAAUCAUUGCAUUCGGGUAUUUCAAAGUGACUUGAUUUAUAAUUCUUAUUUUGUUUAAUUUUGGAGUUCUACAGUUGGAUUUAAAGUUUGGUUUCCAUUUGGAUUGAUAGUUUGGUUUUCAUUGGGAUUUCAUCUGGGCUUUCAAUUUAAGAGUUGGUUAUAGCCUAGAUUUUCGGUUGUAUACUUAUGCACAUACAGCUGGCUGUAUAUGAGCUAAAAUAACGUCGUUUUUGCUAUUUUAGCUGUAUUAUUUUCCUUCCUUCUCUAGCGCACAAUUCUUUUCCCUCUUUGUUUUUUUUAAUUUUUUUUAAUUUUUUUAUUUUUCUCUUUGCUUUUUGAUCAUAUCAAGCCUUAUU